rnacentral:rRNA from 1 species
GCUAAACAUGCAGUCGACGAAGCCAUUAAUUUCGGUUAAGGGCUUAGUGGCGGACGGGUGAGUAACGCGUGAGGAACCUGCCUUACAGAGGGGGAUAAUGUCUGGAAACGGACACUAAUACCGCAUGAUAUUCCAGCAUCACAUGAUGCAGGGAUCAAAGGAGCAAUCCGCUGUAAGAUGGACUCGCGUCCGAUUAGCUAGAUGGUGAGAUAAAAGCCCACCAUGGCGACGAUCGGUAGCCGGACUGAGAGGUUGAACGGCCACAUUGGGACUGAGACACGGCCCAGACUCCUACGGGAGGCAGCAGUGGGGGAUAUUGCACAAUGGAGGAAACUCUGAUGCAGCAACGCCGCGUGAAGGAAGACGGUCUUCGGAUUGUAAACUUUUGUACUCAGGGACGAUAAUGACGGUACCUGAGCAGCAAGCUCCGGCUAACUACGUGCCAGCAGCCGCGGUAAUACGUAGGGAGCGAGCGUUGUCCGGAUUUACUGGGUGUAAAGGGUGCGUAGGCGGCAGGACAAGUCAGCUGUGAAAACUAUGGGCUUAACCCAUAGCCUGCAGUUGAAACUGUUCUGCUUGAGUGAAGUAGAGGUAGGUGGAAUUCCCGGUGUAGCGGUGAAAUGCGUAGAGAUCGGGAGGAACACCAGUGGCGAAGGCGGCCUACUGGGCUUUAACUGACGCUGAGGCACGAAAGCAUGGGUAGCAAACAGGAUUAGAUACCCUGGUAGUCCAUGCUG